rnacentral:ncRNA from 2 species
AAUAAAGGAUAUUUUUAUGGUGCAGUUUUACUGCUUAAAAGGGAAGCUAGUGAGAAUCCAGCACGGUCCCGCCACUGUAUAUAGGGAGUACUAUAUCAUGCAGCCACUGUUUUUUAUAAAAUGGGAAGGUGAUAAUAGUAUGUUGAUCUUAAGUCAGGAUACCUGCCAUAUUAAUACACGCUAA